GCAGAUUGCAAGAAUAAUAGAAGAUAUUUACAGAAAACCAUAUUUAGGCAAACAAUCAAAUUGCAGUAACUCAAAACCGAAGAAGAAAAUGAAGAAUUAUAUCAUAAAUUUGAAAUUCGACCUAUUUCCUGAUUAUAUUUCAACAUUUUGUCCAACGUUUCUCCAACCUAAACCUAGCCUUUCAGAAAAUUAGCAAUCAGUGUUACACA
rnacentral:misc_RNA from 1 species